rnacentral:rRNA from 1 species
AGAGUUUGAUCAUGGCUCAGGAUUAACGUUGGUAGUAUGCCUAACACAUGCAAGUCGAGCGGGAGGUAGUAGCAAUAUUACUUCUAGCGGCGAACGGGUGAGUAAUGCUUAUCUUACUUACCAAUUAGUGGGGGAUAACCGUGGGAAACCAUGGCUAAUACCGCAUUUGUUACUUGGUAAUGAGAGGGAGUUGCAAGACUCUCGCUAAUUGAUAGGGAUAAGUCGUAUUAGUUUGUUGGUAGGGUAAUGGCCUACCAAGGCAUUGAUGCGUAGCCAAUCUGAGAGGAUGAAUGGCCACAAGGAAACUGAGACACGGUUCCUACUCCUACGGGAGGCAGCAGUGAGGAAUUUUCGGCAAUGGGGGAAACCCUGACCGAGCAAUACUACGUGAAGGAAGAAGGUCUACGGAUUGUAAACUUCUGUUAGCACAGAAGAAGACUGAACAUAAGUUCAGUUUGACGGUAUGUGCAGAGAAAGUCACGACUAACUAUGUGCCAGCAGUCGCGGUAAGACAUAGGUGGCGAACGUUAUCCGGAAUUAUUGGGCGUAAAGGGUGCGUAGAUGGUAUGGUAAGUUAUCAGUGGGAAAUCGAGGCCCAACCUCGUGGAAGCUGGUAAUACUGCCGCACUAGAGUACAGAAGAGGUUAACGGAAUUCCAUGUGGAGCGGUAAAAUGCGACGAUAUAUGGAGGAACAUCAAUAACGGCGAAGGCAGUUAACUAUUCUGUUACUGACAUUGAGGCACGAAAGCGUGGGGAGCAAAACGGAUUAGAUACCCUAGUAGUCC